rnacentral:lncRNA from 1 species
AUGGCUACCGUAAUUUACGGACCUUCAAGAAAGGCUAAGAGAAUGCGAGUUGAGGGAAAAGCAUCCCCGACCUUUCACAGACAAGAUGUUAAAGUUGAAAAUGGUGGUGGAACAUAGAGUAUACUAGUCAUAGAUGAUGACUUUGAAAGCCCUAUGCAUACUAGUGAGUUGGUAAAUGUAAAGAAGGAAGCAAAAGGAAAAGACAAACUGCAUAAAGAAGUACAAAGGGCUAGUGUUAAACAAAUGGGUUUUGAGAGAAUGCUUUCUUUAACCAUUGAUGGGAUUCCUGGGAUGUUAGGCCAUUAUGUAGUGGACCGAUUGGUUACUAAAAGAUUGUGUAUAGAUAUGAGAACGCCUCAAUAAAGAUAACAAAAGCGGCGAUUCAUACGUUGAUUGGUGUUCCUGUUGGUGGGUUGAUGCUUGUAAAGAAUUCAGACUCAAAAGAAAGCAAAAAUGUUGAUUGAGUAAGAGAUGAUGCAAAGAGUGUCUUCAACGGUCCUCUAACAAUAUUGUUGACGUGUAGUUAUUAUAUCUUGAUUCUACAACAUGCAAUGGAAUACAAUUUCAAAGAAGGAAUUUCGCAAUGGCCGAAUGGAACAUGGAGAGAAUGAAGCUUAGGGAGAAGAUCGAGAUUGAAGGUGGAGGAUUUGGUAGAGGAAAUAUAAGACAGCUAUUUGUUAAAGUUGCUAGAGUUAUCAAGGAAGAUAAUAACAAAGCAAGUGAAGAUAAAUCCAACAGUGACACGCUGAAAGAUUAUUUGGACAAGCUAGAUGGUUUGAUUACAUUAUUGUAUAGUGACAAAGAUGAAUUUGAGUGUACAAUAAUAAAAGCAUUGCGAAAGUUUCCUGAUGAUGAGGA